GCCGGCGUGUCGGAAUGGCAGACGAGGUAGACUCAAAAUCUAUUGUGGGAAACUACGUAUGGGUUCAAGUCCCAUCGCCGGCA
rnacentral:tRNA from 1 species